UACAGAGGGUGCAAGCGUUGCUCGGAAUCAUUGGGCGUAAAGGGUAGGUAGGUGGUCUCGUUUGUCUGGGGUGAAAGCCCAGGGCUUAACCCUGGAAGUGCCCCGGAAACGGCGAGACUGGAGUACUGGAGAGGGUCGUGGAAUUCCCGGUGUAGCGGUGAAAUGCGUAGAGAUCGGGAGGAACACCAGAGGCGAAGGCAGCACUCUGGUACAUGACUGACGCUGAGACGCGAAAGCGUGGGUAGCAAACAGG
rnacentral:rRNA from 1 species